CGGUAGCUAAGUGCGGAAGAGAUAACCGCCGAAAGCAUCUAAGCGGGAAACUUGCCUCGAGAUGAGUCUUCCCUGGCGCUUUAAGUGGCCUAAAGGAACGUUUAAGACUAAGACGUUGAUAGGCUGGGUGUGUAAGCGUAGCGAUACGUUGAGCUAACCAGUACUAAUGAACCGUGAGGCUUAACCUG
rnacentral:rRNA from 1 species